AGUGAACGCUGGCGGUAGGCCUAACACAUGCAAGUCGAACGGCAGCACAGUAAGAGCUUGCUCUUACGGGUGGCGAGUGGCGGACGGGUGAGGAAUACAUCGGAAUCUACUUUUUCGUGGGGGAUAACGUAGGGAAACUUACGCUAAUACCGCAUACGACCUACGGGUGAAAGCAGGGGAUCUUCGGACCUUGCGCGUUUGAAUGAGCCGAUGUCGGAUUAGCUAGUUGGCGGGGUAAAGGCCCACCAAGGCGACGAUCCGAAGCUGGUCUGAGAGGAUGAUCAGCCACACUGGAACUGAGACACGGUCCAGACUCCUACGGGAGGCAGCAGUGGGGAAUAUUGGACAAUGGGCGCAAGCCUGAUCCAGCCAUACCGCGUGGGUGAAGAAGGCCUUCGGGUUGUAAAGCCCUUUUGUCGGGAAAGAAAAGCAGCAGGUUAAUACCCCGCUGUUCUGACGGUACCCAAAGAAUAAGCACCGGCUAACUUCGUG
rnacentral:rRNA from 1 species